rnacentral:lncRNA from 1 species
GCCGUGAGAGGAAGACACCGUGGAGGAGGAUGUCGUGAGAGGGCUAAGAACAGAGGUGGGCUCUAUGUCGGAGGAGAAAUAAGAAGAAAUCACCUUCCCUUGAAACUCUGCAAAGGGUAAGGGCAUUGCACACUUUUCUCGACAAAUUCACAAUCUCUCAAACUCUUUUCUUCCUCUUCUGUCUUAUGUCUUUCUUCUUCUUCGAGUUGUGGAUGCGUGCAGGAAAUUAAAGUGGCAAAGUGCGCUUCAUCCUCUCUCUCUCUCCUCUUUUGUGUUUCUUAUUUUUGCUUUCGCCUGUUAUCUGACUUA